ensembl:lincRNA Gm10101 predicted gene 10101
GAUUGGUGGCCUGAGAGAAUUCCGCCAGCCGGGCUCUGUUCUCAAAUUCCUAACUGACAUCUGGGGCCAAAAUUUAAGUUAAUGCAGAUCCUCAGAUACACGAGGUAUCCUGGAAACCCUGCAAACCCUAGACAAAUUUGGGAAUGGGACAAGGGCCGGCAUCGGCGCGACGGAAUGGUCUACGAAAGGAAUGGUCUCGAUUUGCGGAUUGUCGCGGAAAACCCGAAAAGAGGUCACUACCGCGAGCGAUUUUUUGUAACCUUAUCAACCUUUGCAAAGUAAGUUUAUUCAAAGGAAAAUCGGCAUACGUACUCCCUCGGCCCUCUUUUUUCUUCUCCAAUUAGAAUUAGCCAGAUCUUUGAAGGUUUUAGUAACUAAUUUUUGUUUGUUUAUUAGGAGAUCUUAGUACAGGAAGUAGCUUAAUGUCUGCUUCCUUUCCUCACUCUUGUCAUCAGUGCCUCAAAGAAGCCUCCCGGAAGUUUCUCCUAAAACCACUUUUAUAUUUCUUUUACUUAAGCCCUAAUGUGAUCCCUAGUUACAGCAUAAACAGGAGAAACACCUCCCAUCACAAAUCCGAUCCUGUUACUGAGGAAGAAGGGGAGAGUGGACAUUAGGACGCUUAAGGAAAGGUUUCAUGCCAUGCUCUCAAGUCACCAGGAAAUGUGUGCUUCAAAAAGAAGAGUUAGCUUCGUCCAGUGACCUUGACCAAAUAGCCUUGUGUUUUCUGGAGUACUGCUAUUUAAGCUUGUUUCUAUGUAAAUUUUCUCAUUAGUAGAUAUUGAAUUGUAAAAGUAUGUUUAUUUAAGCUAUGCUUGGUUGUUGGAAUGUUUUUUACUACCACAUCAAGCACUGCAGUGAGUAUCCAUAAAGCUAAUUUACUUACUUAGGCUAAAUCAUGGAGGUAGGACUUUAUGUAUAUUUAAUUUUUUUUAGAGACUAGAGUCUAGAAAUACUGUGUUAGAUGCAAUCACACCAUUGCAGGUAGCCAAUCUGAAGGCAAUUUUAUUACAGUAAAACGAAAAGGGAUGUUUAUCGUGAAACAAAAACAUAAGUUGCAGGUAAAGUAACAUUAAAUACAUAGGAAUGACUUUGUCCCCACUCAACCCCCACUGAACCUACAGUAAAGAGAUGUAAGAUGUAAGCCAACAAGAUGGCUAAAGGCACUUGCUACCAGGCCUGACAACCUAACUGGAACCUUCUGGAACCACGUGGUAAAAGGAGAAUACAGUUGUCUUCAGACCUCUGCAAGCAUGGGCCAUAGUAAAUAUAAUGUAAUGAAAGAAAAGUAAACAUUUCCCAAAGUGUAAAGAAGAGAGGAAGCAAGAAAAGAAAAAAAAUAAAUAAAGUAAUGCUUUGGAAGAUACAAAUCAGAAAAGAACAAUUCACCAAUCCAGACACGAGAGCCAGCUCCAAAUCAGAAAUAAAGGAACGGGAAGCCAGCCUAGCUUAUCCUGAGGAACUCUCUAAACAAACAGGAGCGGAGAUUUAGCUCAAGUCUUUACCAUUUCCUGCUUGGAUUUACUACAGCCACUGAAAUAUGUGUCUAACACAGGACCUGUCCUGUGUACUCUGCACACACAGUGUCCCUUACUGCAGGACCUCUCCUGUGUACUCUGCACACAGUGUCCCUCUCUGCAGGAUCUCUCCUGUGUAUUCUGCACACACGGUGACCCUCUCUGCAGGACCUGUCCUGUGUACUCUGCACACAGUGUCCCUCACUGCAGGAUCUCUCCUGUGUACUCUGCACACAGUGUCCCUCUCUGCAGGACCUCUCCUGUGUACUCUGCACACAGUGUCCCUCAACUCUCUCCUCCACCACCAAUGACUUUUCUAUAGCAAAAAUCUAAUUCCACUGGUAAAAGUCCUGGGUUGGCAUGCCCUGUUUUUCUUGUUCUUUUUAAAAUAAAAUUUUAGGUAAAUUUACAAAGUAAUGAGUGUUGUUUUAUACACAUAUAUCAAUGGUUUUUUGCUUUUGCUCAUCCUUGGUCUUUCCUCUCUUCCUUCUUCUCCUCUUCCUUCCCAAAAAUACAAUAUAGGUUUAUUCUCUCUCUCUCUUCCCCUCUUGGGGGGGGCAGUCCUUGCCUUCCGCUUUGUUGGAGACAGGAUGAUAUCUCUUUAAAACAAAGACCCUGAGGUCUCAUUUGACACGCCCACUCCUACACAUCUUGACUGAUAGUGCUUGAAUGUGAAAUGGCUCCAGUAGGCUAUAUUUGAACAUUUGGUCCCCAGAUGUGUGGCUGUUUGGAGAAUCUGGGGGAUCUUCAGGAGCUGAGACCCAGAUUAAGGUGGUAGGUGCCUGGGGGAGAGCCUAAGGGGGUUGUCACCUGACCCUGCUUCCACUGCAUCCUGAUCUGCUAUGAUUGUGAGGAGCCUGAGCUACAUGCUCAGGGACACACCUUCCUUGCUAUGACACACUCUAGUCUGAAAUCCUGGAGUCAAAGAAACUUUGCCUCCCUUACACUGUUGGCAGGUGGUCUGUCCAGCAGCUGAGAAAAGAGAUUAAUACACCUACUCAUGUCUAAUUAAGAAAAAAAAAAUGUGGAGGCUGGAGAGGCAGCACAGCAGCUGAGAGUGGUCCUGCUAUUCCAGAAGACUAGCAUCGGUUCCCAGCUCCCAAUCCAGUGGCCCAGGAUCACUGUAAUUCCAGCUCGGGCAUCUGCUUCUGGUUUCUCACGAGUACAUUUGCAUAUCCCCACACAGACAAAGAUAGAUAGAUAGAUAGAUAGAUAGAUAGAUAGAUAGAUAGAUAGAUAGAUAGAUGGAUGGAUGGAUGGAUGGAUGGAUGGAUGGAUAGAUAGAUUAGAGAUAUAAAAUUUUAAAAUAAAAAUAAAUCUUUUAAAAA